GACGAACGCUGGCGGCGUGCCUGACACAUGCAAGUCGGACGGUUCUUGUACCUUCAAGCUUGCUUGUUGGUGCAAGGAUAGUGGCGGACGGGUGAGUAACGCGUGAACAUCUACCCAUUGGAGGGGGACAACCCGUCGAAAGGCGGGCUAAUACCGCGUAAGCCGCGAGGUGAGAGGCUGCCUAUUGGUGGCCGCCGAUGGAUGGGUUCGCGUCCUAUUAGUUAGUUGGUGAGGUAACGGCUCACCUAGGCAAUGAUAGGUAGGCGGCCUUAACGGGUGGUCGCCCACACUGGGAUUGAGAUACGGCCCAGACUCCUACGGGAGGCAGCAGUCGAGAAUAGUCUACAAUGGUCGGAAGACUGAUAGUGCGACGCCGCGUGAACGAUGAAUCCCUUCGGGGUGUAAAGUUCUUUUAUAUGUGAGCAGUGCUUCUUAUAUUAACAGUAUGGGGAAGAGAUAUUAGCAUAUGAAUAAGCAACGGCUAACUCGUGCCAGC
rnacentral:rRNA from 1 species